rnacentral:rRNA from 1 species
UGGCGGACGGGUGAGUAACGCGUGGGCAACCUGCCCUGUACUGGGGGAUAACACCUGGAAACAGGUGCUAAUACCGCAUAAGCGCGCAGUGCCGCAUGGCGCGGCGCGGAAAACCCCGGUGGUACAGGAUGGGCCCGCGUCUGAUUAGCUGGUUGGCAGGGUAACGGCCUACCAAGGCGACGAUCAGUAGCCGGCCUGAGAGGGUGAACGGCCACAUUGGGACUGAGACACGGCCCAAACUCCUACGGAAGGCAGCAG